rnacentral:rRNA from 1 species
CUAGGAGAUACACCUGUACCCAUGCCGAACACAGAAGUUAAGCCCUAGAACGCCGGAAGUAGUUGGGGGUUGCCCCCUGUGAGAUAGGAUAGUUGUGUUGA